GACGAACGCUGGCGGCGUGCCUAAUACAUGCAAGUAGAACGCUGAAGGAGGAGCUUGCUUCUCCGGAUGAGUUGCGAACGGGUGAGUAACGCGUAGGUAACCUGCCUGGUAGCGGGGGAUAACUAUUGGAAACGAUAGCUAAUACCGCAUAAGAGUAGAUGUUGCAUGACAUUUGCUUAAAAGGUGCAAUUGCAUCACUACCAGAUGGACCUGCGUUGUAUUAGCUAGUUGGUGAGGUAACGGCUCACCAAGGCAACGAUACAUAGCCGACCUGAGAGGGUGAUCGGCCACACUGGGACUGAGACACGGCCCAGACUCCUACGGGAGGCAGCAGUAGGGAAUCUUCGGCAAUGGACGGAAGUCUGACCGAGCAACGCCGCGUGAGUGAAGAAGGUUUUCGGAUCGUAAAGCUCUGUUGUAAGAGAAGAACGAGUGUGAGAGUGGAAAGUUC
rnacentral:rRNA from 1 species